rnacentral:misc_RNA from 1 species
UACGAGUGCCCCAAGCGUUAUCCGGAAUCACUGGGCGUAAAGGGUGUGUAGGCGGUCUAAUUAGUCUUCUGUUAAACCUUCGGGCUUAACCCGAAGAUCGCAGAGGAAACGGUUAGACUAGAGAAUGUGAGAGGUGUGCGGAACUCACGGUGUAGGGGUGAAAUCCGUUGAUAUCGUGGGGAACACCAAAAGCGAAGGCAGCACACUGGCACAUUUCUGACGCUGAGACACGAAAGCGUGGGGAGCGAAAGGG